rnacentral:rRNA from 1 species
UACGUAGGGACCAAGCGUUGUUCGGAUUUACUGGGCGUAAAGGGCGCGUAGGCGGCUCUGUAAGUCAGGCGUGAAAUUCCCGGGCUCAACCUGGGGACUGCGCUUGAGACUGUGGGGCUAGAGGAUGGAAGAGGGUCGUGGAAUUCCCAGUGUAGAGGUGAAAUUCGUAGAUAUUGGGAAGAACACCGGUGGCGAAGGCGGCGACCUGGUCCAUUACUGACGCUGAGACACGAAAGCGUGGGUAGCAAACAGG